AAUAAAUAACAAUACCGGGCUUUUUCAAGUCUGGUAAUUGGAAUGAGAACAAUCUAAAUCCCUUAUCGAGGAUCAAUUGGAGGGCAAGUCUGGUGCCAGCAGCCGCGGUAAUUCCAGCUCCAAUAGCGUAUAUUUAAGUUGUUGCAGUUAAAAAGCUCGUAGUUGGAUUUCGGGCGUGGAGGUUCGGUCCGCCGUUUCGGUGUGCACUGUCUGUCUGCGUCUUUCUGCCGGGGACGCGCUUCUGGCCUUAAUUGGCUGGGACGUGGAUUCGGCGAUGUUACUUUGAAAAAAUUAAAGUGUUCAAAGCAAGCUAAAGCUCUGAAUACAUUAGCAUGGAAUAACGCGAGAGGACUCGGUCCUUAUUUUGUUGGUCUUCAAGGAUUGAGUAAUGAUUAAGAGGGACAGUUGGGGGCAUUCGUAUUUCAUUGUCAGAGGUGAAAUUCUUGGAUUUAUGAAAAGACGAACUUCUGCGAAAGCAUUUGCCAAGGAUGUUUUCAUUGAUCAAAAACGAAAGUUGGGGGCUCGAAGAUGAU
rnacentral:rRNA from 1 species